GCACUGGCACCGAAAAGAAAUUUUCAAACACCACUUCAAUCAAUUCACCUCUCGAGCGAGAAAGAACGUCUUGAACACUUCACGAAAUAGAAUACGGAUCACGAAUAGAAUACGUCGACAGCGGCCGAUCAAAGGCUGAUUGAUUCCAUCUGCCACCGGAAGCGCGGGCUGUAUGACACUACCAUCCAAGAAGAAGGUCCCAACACAAUCCGACAGGCCCAAGAUGCGACCGUUCCGGGGAACAGUCCGACGGCAAGUGAUUGGCACAUGGGAUGCGAUUUCAAACCUGGAGGCUGAAGAGAACUCCAGAAGCCACCCCCAGUCGAAAGAUUGCUCUCAUGUCUCUCGGAGCUGUUCGAUCGUGCAAGGGCCCAGCAUACCAAGAACUCUAUGGUACUGAGCUAUGCUGCAUUAGCCAUCGCUUCUUCUCUCCCAAGUGAUGAAGACUCAGCAAUUAAUACUCGCGCUUGUUUUCCCCUCCGACUCCGAGAACCUCGAUGAACAGGAACCUCUCGUGGUAGCGAAUGCUGGGAAUCAAAAUGUGACACACGAUCGAAUGCGAUCGUUACUGUUACAUUACAAAUUCAGAUGCGUUUCGUAUUGGGACUCUGGCCAUAUUUCAAUUAAAUCCAAUAAGGACAAUCAUAAGUCCACACACAACUUAAGACAAACGGUAUGAGAGAUGGCAAAUACCAGAGAAACUGUUUAAUGGGGAUAUUGAACCCUUUAUAAUAGUAGUCAUCCUAGAAAGUGUUCUCUUUCAGUGACGUAGAUCUAUUCUUCAUGUUCUCGUCCAACUCUUCACGCUGUUCAGAAACACAUGUGAAUCGCAAGCCUUUUUAAAACCAAUCUUUCCGUACGCUACCCGAUUAACAUUAACCCGGUGGUCUAAAUACGCGUGUACAUGUCUCUAAAGUCGCUGAUAAGAGGUAACAACACCGUACAAUAUAUGCAAGGAAACAAACACA